AUACGCUGGCGGCGUGCUUACACAUGCAAGUCGCACGAGAACUCUUCUGCUUGCAGAAGAUAGUAAAGUGGCGCACGGGUGAGUAACGCGUGGGUAAUCUACCUCUGAAUUGGGGAUAACAUUGUGAAAGCGAUGCUAAUACCGAAUAAUAUCCCGAGAACUUAGGCUUUUGGGAUCAAAGGUGGCCUCUACAUGUAAGCUACUGUUUAGAGAUGAGCCCGCGUACCAUUAGCUUGUUGGUAGGGUAAUGGCCUACCAAGGCAACGAUGGUUAGCUGGUCUGAGAGGAUGAUCAGCCACACUGGAACUGACACACGGUCCAGACUCCUACGGGAGGCAGCAGUGAGGAAUUUUGCGCAAUGGGGGAAACCCUGACGCAGCAACGCCGCGUGAGUGAUGAAGGCUUUCGAGUCGUAAAGCUCUGUCAAGUGAGAAGAACCUAUCCCGCGUUAAUAUCGCGGGAUACUGACGGUAUCACUGAAGGAAGCACCGGCUAACUCCGUGCCAGCAGCCGCGGUAAUACG
rnacentral:rRNA from 1 species